rnacentral:snRNA from 1 species
AUUGCUUCUUGGCCUUUUGGCUAAGAUCAAGUGUA